rnacentral:tRNA from 1 species
AAACUAAUUUAGUUGUGUUUUGAAAACAUAACUCGGGUCAAACCCAUAGUUUU